UACGUAGGGUGCGAGCGUUGUCCGGAAUUACUGGGCGUAAAGAGUUCGUAGGCGGUUUGUCGCGUCGUUCGUGAAAACUCGGGGCUUAACCCCGAGCCUGCUUCUGAUACGGGCAGACUAGAGGUAUGCAGGGGAGAACGGAAUUCCUGGUGUAGCGGUGAAAUGCGCAGAUAUCAGGAGGAACACCGGUGGCGAAGGCGGUUCUCUGGGCAUUACCUGACGCUGAGGAGCGAAAGUGUGGGGAGCGAACAGG
rnacentral:rRNA from 1 species